rnacentral:rRNA from 1 species
AUGGAUAAUUUGGCCAUAGUCGUGGCACUCGUUGUCGCCGCCUCGUCCAUUGCCAUCCACCUCCUCACCAGGGCCAGGAAAAGACGGCCGGCCAACCUGCCCCCGGGCUCCCUCGGCCUGCCGGUGAUCGGCCAGAGCCUCGGCCUCCUCCGUGCCAUGCGCGGCGGCGACGGCGGCAGCCGGUGGGUACAGGACCGGAUCGACAUGUACGGGCCCGUGUCGAAGCUGUCGCUGUUCGGCACGCCGACGGUGCUCCUGGCCGGACCGGCGGCCAACAAGUUCCUCUUCUUCAGCAGCGCGCUUUCGACGCGGCAGCCCCGGUCCGUGCAGCGUAUACUCGGAGAGAACAGCAUCCUGGACCUCCAUGGUGCCGACCACCGGCGCGUCCGCGGUGCUCUGCUCGAGUUCCUCAGGCCCGACAUGCUCAAGAUGUACGUGGGCGGGAUCGACGCCGAGGUGCGGCGCCACGUCGGGGAGAACUGGGCCGGCCGCGGGACCGUGACGGUGCUGCCGCUGAUGAAGCGGCUGACGUUCGACAUCAUCUCCGCGCUGCUCUUUGGCCUGGAGAGGGGCGCCGUGCGGGACGCGCUGGCCGGCGACUUCGCGCACAUGAUGAAGGGCAUGUGGGCCAUCCCGGUGAACCUGCCGUUCACGGCGUUCAGCCGGAGCCUCAAGGCCAGCGGCAGAGCCCGUCGGGUGCUGGCGGGGAUCACGCGGGAGAAGAAGGCCAGCCGGUGCCAGCCGGAGCACGGCAAGGCGCAGCGGAGCAACGACCUCAUAACCUGCCUGCUCGGCCUGACGGACGGCCAUGGCGAGCGGCUGCUGAGCGACGAGGAGAUCGUGGACAACGCCAUGGUUGCCCUCAUCGCCGGCCACGACACGUCGUCCAUCCUGAUGACGUUCAUGGUCCGCCACCUCGCCAACGAUGACGCCACCCUGGCCGCCAUGGUCCAAGAGCAUGAGGAGAUCGCCAUGAACAAAGGCGACGGAGAGGCUCUCACCUGGGAAGAUCUGACGAAGAUGAAGCUCACAUGGCGAGUCGCGCAGGAGAUCCUACGAGUCGUCCCUCCGAUCUUCGGCAGCUUCAGAAGAGCGCUGGAGGACGUCGAGUUCGACGGCUACCUCAUCCCAAAAGGAUGGCAGGUGUUCUGGACGGCGAACGUGACGCACAUGGACGCGAGCAUCUUCCACGAGCCGGCGAGGUUCGACCCGUCCCGGUUCGAGAACCAGGCCGCGUCGGCGGCGCCGCCGUGCUCCUUCGUCGCCUUCGGGGGCGGCCCGAGGAUAUGCCCCGGGAUAGACUUCUCCCGGAUCGAGACGCUGGUGACGAUGCACCACCUGGUGAGGCAGUUCAGAUGGAAGCUCUGCUGCAAGGAGAACACCUUCGUGAGGGACCCCAUGCCGUCGCCGCUGCGUGGCCUGCCCAUCCAAAUCGAGCACAGGACCUCCCCUCCGCCGUGA